rnacentral:lncRNA from 1 species
UUGGAUUUGGCUUCUGGGUUUGGGGCAGGGCCCGGGGGAUCCAAAUUCCCUCUGUCCUGCACACAGCUUCAUGGGGACUUGGGGAUGGAGGCUGCACAGGCAGCCUGGCUGGUCGCAGCCUCUCCGCUCCUCCCUCCCUUCUCUGCUCUGCUGCUCCCUCCCUCCCUUCCCCCUCACUGUCUCCAGCCCUGCAAUCCAUCACAGCUCUGUGUCCCUGCCCUUUGUGACCGCGUCUCUCUGCAGCACUACUUUUGCAUUUUGAUGUUAAAACAAUAUUUUACCCAAUAUAUGACAGCACUUGGAGCCUUUGCAAAGGCCUUUCACAUCUGUUACUUCAUUUGAUCCUCACCAGGUUGCUGUCAGGUAGGCAGGGAAGGUAUUAUUAGUGAGGGUGCUAGUCAAAAUAUUUAACAGUCCAUAUUCGAUGGGCUCAGCCACGGGAGAGGAGGCAGGCCAUGGAGCUGGAGAGGGCCUGGAGCCAUCCUCUUUUAGUUACUGGAGCAGGGAUUGGGGGAGGGGUGCUGGCGUUGGGACCUGGAAGUCUGGGGCAUCCAGCGUGGGUGGGAGCAGAUAUGAAGGAUUCAGGGAAGUGGCUUUUUGCCAAGCAGUCUGGAAGCAUUUCUGUUUUUUCUUUCUUUCUUUUUUUUUUUUUUUUAGCAGAAUUGAACUGUACCAGUGCUUACAAUGGUCUCUAAUUAUCUGUAGAAUUGUGGUGAUGCAGACACCGAGGUCCAGAGAGAGACAGGGUCUUGCUGUGUUUCCCAGCCUGGACUUGAACUCCUGGCUUCAAGCGAUUCUUCCACCUCAGCCUCCCAAAGUGCAAGGAUAA